rnacentral:rRNA from 1 species
UACGUAGGGUCCACGCAUUAAUCGGAAUUAUUGGGCGUAAAGGGCGCGUAGGCGGGGAUGUAAGUCAGGUGUGGAAUACCAAAGCUCAACUUUGGUGCUGCAUUUGAAACUGCAUUUCUUGAGGACUGACGGAGAAAGCGGAAUUCCAUGAGUAGCGGUGAAAUGCGUAGAUACAUGGAGGAACACCGGUGGCGAAAGCGGCUUUCUAGUUUUUACCUGACGCUGAGGCGCGAGAGCAAGGGGAGCAAACAGG